AGGGCUCCUGACUCCAGGUCCUGUGUGUUACCUAGAAAUAGCACUGGACUUGGAUCAGAAGGCUG
rfam:Pongo abelii chromosome 5.